GCCGCCCCACCUCCUGGUCUGCAGGGCCUGGGGACGCUGGGGACGCCAGGCCUGAGUCGGGGCGGGCGCGGGGCCUUCUUGUAAGGUCGGCAGGAGGAGGAGAUGAGGCUUGGGGGGCCCGGCAGGGCAGGGGCUGGAGCACCCCUGGGGCACCUCAGGCGGGCCUGUGGGUAAGACACCAACCAAAAGCAAUGAUAGAAAUGACAGCUCCUGGAGUCCAGGGGAGAGGACGAGCCCUCGGGAGCUGGCAGGGCCUGUGACACCGGGCGGAGGGGCUCGGGCACUUCCUUCCAAGGCUCCUGGUUCACCUUAGAAGCCGGGUGGGCACCGCCUUCACCUCUGCUCGGGGUGGCGGGGACCCGGGUCAGGCUGCGGGCUCCCUGGCCAAGGAGGCAAUGCAGGGCUGGAAGGAAGCCCCAGGCCCUCCACACCAGCUCGGCCGCUCCUGUGCUUUGCUGGCCUCCGAAGGAACCCCGGAUGCACAUGCACCCACACACCAGCAGUGCGUGUCCCGCAGAACCUCCCAAGGAGGUGGCCUCCGUCCCACAGGUGUUCCCGCCAGUGGGGACCAGGCUUCCAGAUGUUAUUAUUGUAUUUUGCCUUUUGAUGUGAGGGGGAGCUUCAGGCAACCAAGAUUCACAAGAAUAAGAGUCUUCCCUUAUUUACAGGGCAGAUCUAUGCCAAUCAUACAAUCCAAGGCAAAGUUAGGAAUGUGAAAGAAACAAAAAUGUUUUCCAAAGCACAGAAAUGCACGUGAGGUCCAUUCACAGGAUGUGUACAUAGAAGUUACCAAGUGUGAUUAUUGGCUUUCCCUGCCAUACGUUAGGAAAGAAGGGAGAUCACAGAGCGAGUGGCUGCUUGCACCCCGAUGGAAGAAGACAGAACAAAAACAAACGUAAUUAAAAAUGCUAUCUCAAGUCUUCACUAUCUUAGCAGCUGGAGGUUGUCUAAUAUACAGGAUAAACAGCCAUCAACACUUCAUCUGUCCCCAUGAGUAAUAUCACAACCCAACGUAAUGCUGGAUUUUUAUUUAUAAUGACGUCAGAAUCAUCAAAGCAAGGUUUGUUUGUGUUAAAAAUAAUCGUUUCUUAUGGAUGGUGGUGAUGGUCCCACCGUCACCAUUUAAAUCCUAUACGCUUAAAAGUGAACUGCACUUAAAAUAACUAGAAUGAUAAAUUAUAUGUUGUGUAUAUUUUACCGCCAUUUAAAAAAAUCAGUUAUUAAGAGGACUGGGAAGUUUGUGAUAUGCUUUGGAAAAAGAAAUGUAGCCCAAAAUGGUUAUGAUUAAAAAUGAAAAUGUGCUGCUUAAAAGGAUAAGCAAGAGCUAGCUUGAUGAUUCACUCAUGAAUACUCUCUUUUAUCAAAGAAGCUUGAUAUAUAUGAUGUCACUGGAAUUAGUUUAAAAAUAGCAAGCAGUCACACAUUCUAAUAGAAAGAAUUGAAUGUUGUGAUUUUGGGGAACUGGCUUUUAUUUUUAAC
rnacentral:lncRNA from 1 species